rnacentral:lncRNA from 1 species
UCUAUAAAAUCUAAAAAAAAAGGUUUUCUAAAAGAGAUAAUUGCCUAUAUACCCUCAAAACUUCAAAAAUAUUUUAUUUAUCCUUGUUUUUUUUUUUUCUUCCAAUAUACCUCUCAUAAGUUCCUUUGUUAUUUCAAAAUACUCUUUACAGUUACCAUCUGUUAAGUUAACUUGGGUUAAAUAUGAGUUAAAUAUUUAUGAGAGUUAAAAAUAAAAUAAAAUAUCUAUUUUGCUCUUAACUUAAGGGUAAAUAAGAAAAUCCGGUGAUAGUAGAAGGAUAUAUUUGAAAGAGCAAAAUAGUAAUUUUAUACAGAUAACAGCUAUUGCUAACAGUUUAUUAAUAGAAUUUAACUCUACUAGGGAUAUAUUUGAAAGCGGUUGGAACGUAAAAAAAUAUAUUUUCAAUAUUAACCUUCUAAGAAAGGCAAAUCAAAAAGUCGGAAAUUUUUAAGAGCUAUAUAAACAAUUGCUCAUUUCUAAAAAGACUAAUU